UCUUGAACUAUCUCUCAUAAGUCAAAAAUAUUUCUUAUUUGCUCUAAAAGAAGAUUGCUUGUCUUCCUGAAACAAGAGUAUCUGUGUUGAAAGCUAAAUCAUAAUCAAAAUUUUGAUAGAAACAACUAUUUAAGAUAAUCUGAUUAAAAUUUAACUUGUAUAUUUUAUUGAUAAUUAUCUUAAGCAAAUAGAAUCUAAGUUAAAUUGAUUCUGAAAACAAAAAAAUUGAUUUAACUUUAAUGAAUCUUUCUAU
rnacentral:lncRNA from 1 species